rnacentral:lncRNA from 1 species
GUAAUACAUCAGAGUUAACCCCUGGGUGACAAUUUCUAUCUCAUUCUAUUUACAGCUGCUACAAUAAACAAACACAAUUUUUACUGCAUGAUGACUCUGCUCAAUAGUCUAUUUUCCAGUGUACCAGAUAUGAAAUCCUCUGCUUGGAAUUCAUCAACUGCCUCCAUGCUUCUCCUUUUCUGCACCACCAGACCAAUGAACCUGGGUAACCAUAGGCACAUGGCCAGCCAUCUGGUAAUGAUGACAUCAAUAUCACAGUAGAAGAAGAUCAAGGAUCUAAUCGCCAAAAAGACAUACAAGAGGAGCCUAACUGGACAGCUAUGGUGCCGAUGCCUCGGAAGAGAAGUGGAUUCCUCCUGCUUGCUCACACCAAUCCACUCCUUGUGGAAGUCCUUCAGAUGUAGGGAACUCCCUUACGUGUGGGAAUCUCCCUUACCAAGCCCUUCACUCCUCCUUCCCUCCUGUAUUUUUUUUUGAGACCGGAAAGGACGAUGACAAGAUAAAUUUAGAAUUGUAAGGGACCUUAGAAACCAUCUCUGGCAAGCUAUGAAACAUUAGGUAAAUUUAGUCUCUCUAUGUCUCAGUUUCUUCACCUUUUAAAAUGGAGGUGAUGGAUUGGAUAUUCUCUGAGGUCUAAGGUUACUUCCCAGCUCUAAAUCUAUUUCCUAACUCUUUCAUUUUACAGAUGAGAUAGAACUAAAUCUCGGAAAGGCUAAGUGAUUAGCACCAAGCCUUAUGAGUAGUAAGGGGUAGACCUGGCAUUUGAACCCAAAUCUUCUCAUUGGGAUUCCAGUGUGGUUUUUUUUUCUGUUCCCUUGCACCAUACUAUAUCCAAAAACUGUUAAGGCUAGAUGAUAAGAGGGGAAUACCAAGAUUUUCUUUCUAGAAAAAAAUUUGCAUGUUUCCCCAUGAUUCCAGAUCUGUUUCCCACUUGCAGGCAGAUUUCACUAGGGCUACUACUCAGAGUGAUGGAAACUCAUCUUCUCAGUUCAUCAUAAUAGGACUCUAUGAGUUGAUAGGAGAAAUAAGGAGACAAGAAUAGUGGGGUUCAUAGAGUAGCAGGGUUUCCAAGCUUUUCAGCUGAAUAGACAGCCACAACAAUAAGAGAUGGCUACAUGGAUUAACCUCCUCCCCACCUAGGACAGGUGGUUCAAUGGAUAGAGCAGUCAAAUUAAAAUCAGGAAGAACUAAGUUCAAUCCUGCCUCAGGUAUCUACUUGCUGCAUGGUCCUAAGCAAAUCAUUUAACCUCUUGAUGUUAUUUACUUCAACCUUAAAAUAAAGAUGAAUAAAUCACAGGGUGGUUGUGAG